rnacentral:rRNA from 1 species
AGAUUGAACGCUGGCGGCAGGCCUAACACAUGCAAGUCGAGCGGCAGCACGGGUACUUGUACCUGGUGGCGAGCGGCGGACGGGUGAGUAAUGCCUAGGAAUCUGCCUGAUAGGUGGGGAUAACGCUCGGAAACGGACGCUAAUACCGCAUACGUCCUACGGGAGAAAGCGAGGGGACCGUUCGGGCCUUGCGCUAUCAGAGUGAGCCGUAGGGUCGGUAUUAGGUCUUAGGUUUGGGUAGGGGUUAAUGGCCUCACCGAAGGCGACGAUACCGGUAACUGGUAACUGGAGAGGUAU